AGCGAACGCUGGCGGCAGGCUUAACACAUGCAAGUCGAACGAACCCUUCGGGGUUAGUGGCGGACGGGUGAGUAACACGUGGGAACGUGCCUUUUGGUUCGGAACAACACAGGGAAACUUGUGCUAAUACCGGAUGUGCCCUUCGGGGAAGGAUUUAUCGCCAUUAGAGCGGCCCGCGUCUGAUUAGCUAGUUGGUGAGGUAAAGGCUCACCAAGGCUACGAUCAGUAGCUGGUCUGAGAGGAUGAUCAGCCACACUGGGACUGAGACACGGCCCAGACUCCUACGGGAGGCAGCAGUGGGGAAUCUUGCGCAAUGGGGGAAACCCUGACGCAGCCAUGCCGCGUGAAUGAUGAAGGUCUUAGAUUGUAAAUUCUUUCAGCGGGGACGAUAAUGACGGUACCCGCAGAAGAAGCUCCGGCUAACUUCGUGCCAGCCG
rnacentral:rRNA from 1 species